AGUGGCGGACGGGUGAGUAACGCGUGGGUAACCUGCCUCACACAGGGGGAUAACAGUUGGAAACGACCGCUAAUACCGCAUAAGCCAACAGGGGCGCAUGCUCUGGUUGGAAAAGAUUUAUCGGUGUGAGAUGGACCCGCGUCUGAUUAGCCAGUUGGCAGGGUAACGGCCUACCAAGGCGACGAUCAGUAGCCGACCUGAGAGGGUGACCGGCCACAUUGGGACUGAGACACGGCCCAAACUCCUACGGGAGGCAGCAG
rnacentral:rRNA from 1 species